GAGAGGAAGAAGAGGAUGGGCGGAGGAGGCACUUUUCCGCGGAGCCCCUCGGGUUUUACCCACUCUCACGAUCCCCACCACCCAGCGGACGGCUUUCUGAGACUGGGGCUGGUUGGCGGUGGCUGGGGCCCGCCCAAAGCCCAGAAGUUUAAUCCACGGCUGGUCUAUGCGGCACGGAUCGUAAAGCACGCGACCCCCCUCACUGCCUCACUCCACCUUUCAUAUCGGCCGCCGCUUUUCCCCCCGGCCCCGAAGCUUCUCGAUCCCUCCCCCCGCUUCCGUUUCCGUUUCGUCCCCGCCGUCGCCCCCUCGCCGCGGCGGCGGAGUCGCCCGCACUCGCUGCGCGCAGGAACGAUGAGCCGACGUAGUAACGGCCGCACCAUCUACGUGGGCAACCUCCCCGAGGACAUCCGCGAGAGAGAGAUUGAGGAUCUCUUCUACAAGUAUGGUCCUAUUGUCGAUAUCGAUCUGAAAAUUCCUCCAAGGCCUCCUGUUUAUGCUUUUGUCGAGUUCGAAGACCCACGUGAUGCUGAUGAUGCAAUUUAUGGCCGUGAUGGAUAUGACUUUGAUGGCCACAAAUUGCGGGUGGAGUUAGCUCAUGGGGGGAAAGGCCCUUAUUUUAUUCGACCAAGCAGCUAUAGUAGUUCUGGACGUCAUGGUGCAGUUAGGCGUUCUGAUUACCGCGUUAUUGUUACCGGAUUACCUUCUUCAGCAUCAUGGCAAGAUCUCAAGGAUCAUAUGCGGCGAGCUGGUGAUGUCUGUUUCUCUGAUGUUUAUCCUGAGGCUGGAGCAAUUACUGGAAUAGUUGAGUAUACCAACUACGAAGACAUGAAACAUGCGAUAAGAAAGCUUGAUGAUUCAGAGUUCCGUAAUGCAUUUUCACGAGCAUAUAUCAGGGUGAGGGAGUACAAUGCUAGGCGUAGCCGCUCUUACUCGAGAGGUAGAAGCCGAAGCUGCUCUUACUCAAGAAGCAGAAGUCACAGUUAUAGCAGGAGCAAGAGUCCAAGGUCUAGACCUGCUUCUCGGUCUCCUUCACCUGUUAAAGCAAGAUCUGGACCAUGCGACUGUCUGGGGAUUGCAUUGGUAGGAUAUUGGCACGUUCAGAAUCAAAGGAUGGUUUUGGGCGUUGGAUAGUUCUGCUGGAUUGUGAUGUACUGUAUAGCAAGUGGAGUACAACCAGCGAUAGGAGGGCUGGCACUAAACAUAAUGGAGUGGAUUUUGUGGUCAUCAUCAAGAUCCCUAUCACCUGCCGCUCCUGCCCAUGACAAGUCUGCAAGCAGGAGCCCCGUCAGGAGCAGAAGUUUACCCCGUUCUCAGUCUCCUGUGAAAUCUGAGUGAAGCCAGAUGCACUCGAAGUCAGGGAAAAAAAACAUAUCAGGAUUUGUUGGAUUAGGACAAUAUAAUAUGGAUUGUGGGUGCUCUGUCCCAAGAAGUACCAUUGCUGUUCCUUGGAAGGAAAAACGUCAACUUUGUGGUUUGAGAUCAAUGUAGGAGUCUGGUGUUGUUUUACUUCUGCACUCAGUUGCGAGAACGUAAAAGCGUGAACUCAUGGCUUUAACUUUAGUAUGCUAUAGUUUCGCGUCAAAAAACUUCAUGCCACAGCAGAGUUUA